CACCGAUUCAACCGUCUCGAGCUCCUGCUCCGGUCAGUUACUACAAAAUGGCUGCAGAGGCUCCGCCGCUGCUGAGAACCGACUGAACGCUUCACGCUGUGAAAAGAAGCAAAAAUACAAGAAGAGAACCAUUUGAUGGAAGAUAAGAAAAAGAAAAAACAAGACGAGAAGAAAAAGAAAGAGGCUGCUCAAAAAAAGGCCACAGAGCAGAUUACCAAAGUUGUAGGAUUUUUCCACUCAGAAAGUUGGAGAAGCCCCGCCAACCCCGACUUCAUAAUCCAAGAUGGUGGCAGUGCACGUCAACAGUAGUAAAACUGGGAAUCUGUGCUAUAAAUGUUGUGUAUUUGUGACUCGCUAAGCAAGCUGUACACAGAAAAACGACCAAGGUAUUGUGUGUUAUUGCUGGCGAUGGAUGAAUGGUUCGACCUUGCUAAAGACCAAAAUAAAUCCUGCUAUUUCUUGCUUUUACUACUGCUACCACAGCAGUGGCAUCACUCCCAGCUUCAACUUCAGAGGUAAAAUGAGCGCAGCAUUAAUUCAGCCUGUGCUCUGUGUGCUGACAACUGUUGUAGUAAACAGAGAGGCCCCAACAAUAAAGGAAUAUCACAUAUCAGAUCUGUGCGUCACUAGUUGGAAAGGUGCAGUAUCUAUCUGUUAUGACUUCUGUUUGCAGUGUGUGUUAAAUUAUUUCAGCAAAAAUAUUUUACAUGCAAAUGUUUUUAAUUUGAUUUAUUUUUAACCUUGUUUGUUAUAAAUAACCUUAGAAACUGAAAACUUUAUUAUUGAUGCUUGAGCUGUAUACAUGCACAGUAAAAUAAAGAGCAAAGCUGUCAAAAAA
ensembl:lncRNA